rfam:Pseudobutyrivibrio xylanivorans DSM 14809 genome assembly, contig: EJ90DRAFT_scaffold00007.7
AUAAAAGAUAGAGGUUGCGAGAAACAUUAGUAAUCUCAUUGAUGGGACAGGCCCAAGUGAUAUGAGAUAAAAGGGGAUUUCGCCGAAAGAGAACACGCUCCUGUGUGUGUUUGUCUUGGGCAUACGAAGAAUAUUCGUAUGACUGUCACUUAGUAAUAAGUGGGGAGCUAUCAUACGA